CCCCAUCUCCCUCACGCACGGCUCCCCUUCUUCCCUAGAAAAUUUUCUUCCUGCCUUCACGAGCCACCUCCCCUCACUGCCCAUUCCGAACGACUGUUGCGCCGCCUCCUCUCACUACCAUUCCGAACGACCGCCGCGUCGCCUCCCCUCACUGCCAUUACGAACGACGCGUCGCCUCCCUUCACUGCUAGAUUCGAACGACACCGCGCCGCCUCCCUUCACUGCCCAGAUCCGAACUCGCCGCCGCUCGCCCAGCCGGUUUCUCCACCGCCUACCGCGACGUCUUCCAGCAGCUUGGCUUUUAGCUUUUGGGUAAGAUCUAUUUUUGGUGGUUGGGUUCUUGAAAUACUUUGGAUGCCCACUAAGUUGGAUUAAGGAUUAAAUUAGUCGCUUUAUUUAAUUUCAUAUUUGAACUUGGAAAAUCACAACAGCGACAGUCCAGCGGAUUCAAGAUCGUUCGUCAAGAGUAUUGAAAAUUUUCUUCCUGCCUUCGCGAGCCGCCUCCUCUCACUGUCCAUUCCGAACGACCGCCGUGCCGCCUUUCCCCACUGUCAUUUCGAAAGACGUGCUGCCUCCCUUCACUGCCAGAUCCAAUGCCACCGCGCCGCCUCCCUUCACUGCCCAGAUCCAAACUCGUUGCCGCUCACCCAGUCAGUUUUUCCACCGCCCACCGCGCCGUCUUCCAGCAGCUUGGCUUUUAGCUUUUGGAUUUGAACUUGGAAAAUCACAACAGCGACGGUCCAGUGGAUUUAAGAUCGUUCGGCAAGAGUAUUGGUUCCAAGUCGUCAUCCAUUGGGAGUUAAAAUCUGUUAGCAGGAGAUUUUUGGAGUCCAAAUCUUAUGAGUGGUUGUUGAUCAAGUUCUUUGGGGUCGUUACUUCAAAUCGCGGUCAUCGUUUGGUUGUCUGAGUUAUCUGUGGAAUUUCGAUUAAGGUAAGUAAUCUUACUACUGGAACUGCCCAUGGGCCAGACUUUAGUUGUAUGCUAGCAUGAUGAGUGUAUGUUAUGGCAAAUGUUAGCAUGACGAAUGAUAGUAUGAUCUGAACCAAAGUAUGUCCUGGCACGAGACUUGAAUUGUUUAAAUAUACACAUAGAUACUUGAAUGUUAGUAUGAGAUAGUAUGUGUUUCCAUAUGAUUGUAUCUAAGCUGUUGAUGUUGAGGCAUACAUGUACGUUGUAGAACUAUGAUGUUAAUAUACAUUUGAAUGUUGUAGAGCAUGCUAUUGAGGUAUAUGUGUAUGUGGUAGAGCUAUGAUAUCAAGGAUUAUAUGUAUAUUAUAGAUUCGUACGGUGGUGAUUUUGAUGUUGAAACUGUGUGACUGUCCUUACUGAUUAGUUAGAUGCCCAUUUAGAUUUUGUGUUUCCUCCGGGAUUCACCAGUUUAUGUUUCUUUCGGGAUUCACCAGUUGUGUUUCCUUCUGGAUCCACCAGUUUGUGUUUCCUUCCGGAUCCACCAGUUUGUGAUUCCUUCGGGAUCCACCAGUUUGUGAUUCCUUCGGGAUCCACCAGUUUGUGUCUCCUUCGGAAUUUACCAGAGGUAAGGAUAGAGAUGCACCGGUGAUAGACAAGCGGAAUCCGUGAUCGAGCCACUGGUACUAGUUUUUACGCUUUCGCAUAAAGAGAUUUAAAGUUCUUUUCAUAUUUCCCUUAAUGAUAGUUUUGAUGUUCGAACUUGUUAGUAAGAAUUAUUUUUCAUAUUUAUUUAUUAACCUUUACGAUUUGUGGGUACCUUAAUUUUGUUUUUUGACGUUUGCAUUUAAUAAAGGGCUUUUGAACUUCCUUAUCUA